GUGUCAGCCGCCGCGGUAAUACAGAGGGUGCGAGCGUUAAUCGGAAUUACUGGGCGUAAAGCGUACGUAGACGGUUAUGUAAGUCGGGUGUGAAAGCCCCGGGCUCAACCUGGGAAUUGCAUUCGAGACUGUAUAGCUAGGGUGCGGAAGAGGGAAGCGGAAUUUCCGGUGUAGCGGUGAAAUGCGUAGAUAUCGGAAGGAACACCAGUGGCGAAAGCGGCUUCCUGGUCCAGCACCGACGUUCAGGUACGAAAGCGUGGGGAGCAAACAGGAUUAGAAACCCCGGUAGUCC
rnacentral:rRNA from 1 species